GCGCCGCAUCGGGUACCCUCCAGGACUUGAACCCCGCACGAAGUCUCCUCCAUCUCUUCUUGGCAAACCACCUCCGAAUCAGUUGCCGAUGGCUCACCAGGCCUCUUCCUCCACUGCAAGCUCGCCAGUACCUUGUCUCACUCUCGAUCUCUACCAAAAACUCUUGGAUUUGCUCAGCCCAUCAAACCCUUCCGCAAAUUUCAUGGGACCCUCAGUCGACGAAGCUGAUUGGAGCGGGUGAGCUUUGCAAUGAACUUUACAUGUAUCGAUCUCAACCCAUCACAGCUCUUUCUACUCAGACUCUUGCUAAUAAGAUCCUAUGGCACCAACGCCUAGGUCAUUCUUCUCGUUUAAAUAUUCUCAAUUUUUUCAAUAAUAAUGCUUGUAUUAUUUCUGAUUGCGAUAUUUGUGCUCGUUCGAAGCAUACUCGACUUCCUUUUCCUUCAAAUGUUAAUAAAAGUACUUUUGCUUUCAAUCGUA